UACGUAGGGUGCAAGCGUUAAUCGGAAUUACUGGGCGUAAAGCGUGCGCAGGCGGUUUCAUAAGACAGAUGUGAAAACCCCGGGCUCAAACUGGGAACUGCAUUUGUGACUGUGGGGCUAGAGUACGGUAGAGGGGGAUGGAAUUCCGCGUGUAGCAGCGAAAUGCGUAGAUAUGCGGAGGAACACCAAUGGCGAAGGCAAUCCCCUGGACCUGUACUGACGCUCAUGCACGAAAGCGUGGGGAGCAUACAGG
rnacentral:rRNA from 1 species